CCCUUAGAUGUCCUGGGCUGCACGCGCGCUACACUGGAAGUUACGGAUUGAGAUACUACCUUGUCCGAAAUGGUCCGGGUAAUCACCUAAAAGCUUGUCAUAAUUGGAAUGGAUUAUUGUAACUAGUAAUCCUGAACGAGGAAUUCCUAGUAAGUCCCAGUCAACAGCUGGUACUGAUUACGUCCCUGCCCUUUGUACACACCGCCCGUCGCUACUACUGAUUGGACGUUUAAGCAAGAUUUUUAAACACUGACAGUGUGUAGUUCAUGCUAUACUACAGUGAGAAGAAGAAGAUCGAGCUUACUUGUCUAGAGGAAGUAAAAGUCGUAACA
rnacentral:rRNA from 1 species